CCACAUUCUUUCCUGAUGAAAGUAAUAUAUUAAAUCAUGAAAAGAUAACAAACUCUCAGAAAGGUACCAGAAACGAGAAAAAUACCUCAGUCUUUUUAUGCUGUAGAAAGGUUUAUAAAAGUAGUUUAAAGUAGCAAGAUCAAACGAAAGAGAAGAUAAAAUAAUGAAAUCAUCGUUUAAUUAGUAUUAUGUUAGUUAUUACGAUUUAUUUCAAAUAUUAUACUAUAACUAUAAAUACUAAUGUAAAUUGUGUUUUCUGCGUUCAUAAGUCUGUGGCCAUCGUUCAUUUGGCCACAACUGUUCAUCUGAAUGCCAUUGUCGUGAUAACACCAGUUGCUCCGGCAUAACGGGAGAAUGUGAAGUUGGUGCAUGUGAUCCUGGCUGGCAUGGUACAAGUUGUGAUCAAGAUGGUGAUGCGCAUCAGGAGGUAAGCAGUAAAAAUGGUAAAGCAAUUAUUGGAGCUUCGGUUGGAGGUGCUGCUGUGGUUUGUCUGGUUUUAGUGAUAAUAGUUGUUUUGAUUUACAAAUUCAGGAUCAAACCAAACAGAACAGAAAGCAAAAACGUGUACGCCGGCCUAGAUCUUUCUAUGACACCUGCUGAUGCAUCAGCAUACGACACCUUACACAAUUCUCAAGACAAACUUGGCUCAAGCCACACUGGUGACUACGUGAAUUUAAGUGUGAUGGGCAGAUGAUCAACCAUGUUUACGUUUAGCUUCGAAGACGUUAUGAAAAUAGACACAUUAGUGAACGUUCACAAUUGCUGAUUACUAUAGAAACAUUAACUCAUGAUAUUUCCAAAUGUGUAAAUUCGCAUAAUUUCUAUAUUUUGAUAGCGAUAUAGUUAUUUGAAAAUAAUUUAAUACAUCUGAAUCUGUGUUUGUCAAUGAGAAUUGUUCGAGGGUGAAGCCGUGUCAUGAGUUUCAUCUAAUAUAAUGAUACAACAUCAAAUAUGUUUGAACAAUAAAUUGACCAAUAAGCUUUUA
rnacentral:lncRNA from 1 species